rnacentral:lncRNA from 1 species
UAUAUAAUGCUUAGACAUCGAAGAUAGUUCAUCUCUCUCUACUUCUUCAAUGUAUUGCCAACUGAUUUGGUAUCUAGAAAAUUAGGUUAUAGCACUUAUUCUCUAGAUUUCUUGAACUUUCACACCUUGAUCAAAGUUCAUAGAUGCUCAAACUUCAAAAGAUCAAUGAGAUGCCAGGAUCACAUGAAGCCCAAGUGUGAAGCACAAGGUAAAGCAUGUGUUUUGAAGGAAUACCAGAUAUAAUAGACAUGUAAAUUUAUUUCAUAACAAAUAAACAUUAAUUGAGCUGUAAUUAACAUCAAUUAAAUUAAAAAUAAUUUGAAAUGGUUUACCUCGUUAGCUCAAGGUUUGAGUGUUGUGUCAAAUGUAAAAUGCACAAACAUAAAGGUGGACAAUGAAAAAAAAAAGUAAUUAGCAAAGAUUAAAAAAUGGUAAUAGAAGGAAAAGCAACAAAUAAGCAAAGAAAAGAGAAGAGGAUGACAAACUGAUAUAUUGAAACCUUAAUUGAUGAGUCUCGUUUUUCCCUUUUUAAUAAAGAGAAACAUUUUUUAUUGGUUGGUCUUUUUGCUCUUUCUGAAAGAUGGUCACGAAUAAACCUAGUCUAAUCCAUGGACUGCACUUUCACCUGAACCAGUAUGAAACAAGUUGUAUGUACCAGUGUGGGUUUGAACAUGGAUCCGGGAACAUCGUUUUGGGCAAUCCGGUCUGACUAAUUAAACAAAAAAAAAACUAUUCACCCGUACACGUGCCCUCUUUCCCUUACAUUCACCCAUGAGGCACUACUGCCGCCAGCUACUUGUCUAUUUCAGGUACGCUUCCUCUUCUUCUCCUUCUCUUCCUCCUACUUGUCUUCCUCCAUUGCCUCCUCUUCUUCCUUUCCUCUUCUUUCCUCCUUCCACCUUCCUCCUCUUCCUCCACUACCAUUUGUUCCACCCCUUUCUUCUUCCUGCUCUUCAAGUUUUAGGUACGUACACGUGAAUGGUGUGUCGGUACAUGAGUAUCGACAAACCUUGAUCUAAUCUUUUAAAUCAAAUAUAUAAUAUCAGUGGUGUGAAGAGAAACUAGAUAUUUACAAAAGCAUGCUUAUAAACAAUUAACGCUUUUUGAGAAAGCCCAUUAGGCAUAUACUUAAGGCAUGCCUUAUAAAGCUUAUGAAUCUAAUGUUAGGUAAAGCCAAAGCCUAUGCUUUCAUAGUGCCUAUGCGCUUUGACUUGCCUCUAAUAGCACUAUUCUUGAUGACAAGGAAAACAUCCAUGAAGCUUACAUCUAUACAGUUAUGUUCUUCAAAAGAAUGAGUUAUAUAAACUUCUGAAUUCCUCCAGUGAAUGUAAUAAGUUAAUCUAUCAUCCACAAACCCAAAUCAAAAUUUUGCACCACCAGAAUCUAUCACAACAAACUAAAGAAUUGUUUCACAUAUGUCGCAUGUGUCAGAUUUUGCCAAAGAGAGAAUAAUCUCAUGAUUAAUAAAUACCAUAACAAAGUGAGCUUUUUCCAAACCAAACAAUGCCCUUAAUCUCAUUAUAUGCAUAAGAGUUAGGACAUAUGUUAUUUGCUUUUCUGCUACCAAUUAGUUAGACACUAGUCCUUCAAACUAGACUCAACUAUCUAAUCAUAAUUUCAUUGGUCUUAAACAAUAUUAGCAAUUUGGGCCCUUAGAUUUAGCUUUAUUCACUUAUAUUCCUUAAACAAAAUCGUGGAAUUCUUCUCAAUCUAGUUCAGAAGCAUUUAGACCAACAAGGUGGAACAUAGGACAUUUUAAAAGAAAAGCACUAUAUUUAGUACAUAAAAUUAGUUCAAUGAAGAACAAAGAAAAUAUAUGAACACAAAUAACUAGUAGAUAAGUGAAGAUCUUGCUUGUAAACACCACAUAUGAACUUUGGUAUACGACAGAAAAUAUACAGAGAGUAGCAAUUGUGCUCACAAGAUUUUUCUUUCUUGGAAAAGAAGAGUGUGAAGCCUAGAAGGAUUGACAAAAUAAUAGUAUCAAAGUGUUCUUAGGAGGAGAUGAUGUUGUCAGUUCUUGAGCUAUCCUUGUUGAGGUAAUAAAGUAAUUGGGAGAUCAAGUAGUAAAUAAUUAUGAAAAAAAGUUAAAAGAAACAUACUGAGAAUUGAAGAAAGCACUUCACCAAGGUUACUUAUAAAAACGUAAGUGUUUAGACUAUAAUAAAAAAUAAUCAAAGUGAAACAAGGGCAGAACAUGAUAGUUAUCAAUCUUGAAAUAGCCUAUGAUAAAAUUUCUAAAGCAUACGAUAUGAUAAAUUAAAAAAUAAAGAGAUUUCUAGUUACUGCACCAAUGUAUAUGAUGGAGCUAACACUACUUUACAAGCAAUGCAAGAUGUGAAAGGCAAGUUCUCAAUCACUUAGCAUCCACCCAAUUGGCAAUCUCGAAUUAUCACCUUUUUGCACUGGUAAAAAUAUCCAACACAAAACUCCAUACACAUUUGGUUAAUAAUAAUACAUUAAGAUAAACUCUACAUUAAAGUCAUAAAGGGACUGUGAAGUUCGACAGUUCUGGAUAAAUAGGUAAGUGAUGUGCAACUUUAGAAUUAUAAUUUCAUUAUUUUUGCAUAUAAUUGAAAUAAAUGGCCAAAAAAAUUUAAAAUUCAAAAAAAUAUAUGGCUUUGAACUAUUAUUCAACGGAAAAAAUGGAUGCAUUACAAGAAAAAUAAAAUGGAAUGGCUAGAAUGGAGUGAGGUAUCUAGAGUUUCAAGUGAACAACUAGUGUCCUUUUAAAAUCAAGAGAGAAUUUUACAACACAGUUGUAGGAUCAUCUAUUUUUCAUCAUGCAGGAGGUCAUGUUAAAACAAAACAUAUUGAAAAAGCUAGAGCAUAAGACAAAGAGUGUGAGAAGGAUGUAUGUUAUCACCCUAAAGACAAUAAAUGAGAAAAUUGCUUAUAUCAGGUGUUAUCAUUUGAUAAUAAAUGACUGAUAAAAAGAACAUGUGCAUCCCACUUGAACAUGUUGAAAGAAUUCCUAUUCAAGGCAGAAUAAAGGUGCCAGGAAAUAUGAACAUGAAAUCCAAAAACUUGGUUAGGAACAUUAAGAAAUGGUCUGUCAAUUCUCUACUAGCUUUGGCCUAAAGCAAAUUACAACAAAGGGAAGGAAUCAUGUAGAACCCAAGUGGCAGCAGAAAACAACUUGUUGUUAUAUGUUCUUAUAAUUUUCAUCUAAGUGACAGGUGAGCUUCAUGGCUUCACUUGAUAUAUCUUAGUCUAGUUAAAAUAUUCAACUGGCCAAAUUUAUACAAGUACUAUGUGGUAUAUAUUUUUAUUUCUCCAUUUUGUCUUAUAACAUUUUGCAAAAUGCUGUAUCAUAUUUUGCACCAAAGGCCAAUUUACAUGGGACAGCAUGAAAUGGAAAUAGUCCAACUAAAAAUAAAUGCAAACUAUUUAACUUAGAAAACUCUCAUGAAAGCUAAAACCUUGCAAAAGGCAUUUAUACCAGUUUCAGGAUAAGAGAUACCUCUAGCAUAACCCACUUGUCCUUGUUUCCAUGCAGCCUGUUCUCUCAAAACCUGCAGGAGUUCAUUGGUAGUAGAAGUCUUCUUGUCUUCACCACUUGCAUUGUGAUCUCUUUCAGAGGACUUUCCCUUGUACGAAGAAACACUUGCUUUCACUUGGCCUAGAGAAAUGAUUCAGAAUAUACAAUGUCAAAUAUAUUUGGUUUAUAAUUCACUGAAUCCCUACAAGAACUUCAAUGGUAUAAUCCAAAAUUAGCGAUUUAAACCAACUUAAUUUCAUUUAGUUUCUUUGUCAUUCAUUGAAAACUCUUCACAAAAAAGGUAGGUUAAAUGAAGCUAUGACUUACUCUCAAAUUUUGUCAAAUAAAACUUGACCAGAAAUAUAUGGGAAAGAAAAAACAAUCAUUUCAUGGUUUUAAUGGUGUAAAAAAUCAUAAUGAUACAUGAGCUACUAAGAUUAAGGCUAACUAAGCCAUCUAUAAUGAAUAAGAUGGACUCUUUAAAGAGUUAAAAUGCAAAAUAAAUCAAUUUCAAAUAAUUUGACUCGAGAAAAUGAGCAGCUCUCAUGAUCAGAUAAGAUAUGGAGAGGCAUCUACUUUGAAAACACCUACUCAUACAAGUGAUAAAAGGAUUUGGAAGGGAAAAUAAACCUUUUUAAAUCCUGUAGUGGAACACACAAGAAACCAUGGAAAACUUCCUGAAAGAUGAACCAGAAAGACACACACACACAUACACACAUACAUACGUACAUGCAUAAAUACAUACACACACACACACACACACACACUAAACCAUGUUAUCACCUAGCGAACAGGGAAUGGAAAGAAAGAUGGUGAAAGAAAAGAAAGACAGUAGGUGCAGCAAUUGUACAGCAGGAUGUGAAACGAUAGAGAAAGCAGUAGGCAAUACUUAAUUGAAUUGAGCAAUCAAAUAUAAAUUAUAAAUAGAAAAAGAACUCAUAGCCAGUGGGUCUCAGGUCUCAAACAACCAAUGGAUCAUAGCCAACCAACCUAUGUCUAUCAAUGAGUCAUCUAUCAAUCAAUCACUAGUAGUGGGUCAGCAACCAGUCAAUCCUUCAUAAUAUAUUCCAGAAAUUGCAUUCAUAUCUAGUGGCUGGUUGACUACGAGUAACCACUUCAUAUGCCUUUAGCUCAGUCCAAAGUCAGUGAAGUGAAAACACUAGGUAUAAAAGAUCAUUCAACCACUUUUAAUGGAAGU